UCCCUGGUGGUCUAGUGGUUAGGAUUCUGUGCUUUAAACGCUGCAGCCUGGGUUCAAUCCCUGGUCUGGGAA
rnacentral:tRNA from 1 species